UAACGACCACCUGCGAUGGGAGAAGUGUUUGGCGGUGAACAGAGUUAAUGUACCCUGAACGCCGCAGCCUCGCGUCGGCUUCGCUAACGUCCGCCAUCCUGCUCGAGGGACGUCCCCCGGGCCGCCCCUACGUGCUGCGGGCAUGUUGUGGACUUACAGACGUACAGAAAGCCUUGGCCUGUGGCCCAGCGAUGCUAACGUGCCCAGAUGUGGACAGACUGCGGCCAUCGGAGGACAUCGGCUCGUGUUCUGAGGUAACACAGCGGUCAGCAGCAGGACGGGCCCACCCUGACUGGGGUCAGGCGGUACGCCCCCACCCUGACUGGGGUCAGGCAGUACGCCCCCACCGAUUCGGAGAGGAAGCGAGACGGGGACAUACUGUAGGAGGAUGACGCAUAGCCUCUGGGGUCCUCAGGUGCAUGCUGGGUAAAACAGAGACCCCCCCCCCGUUACCGUGACGCACAAGCCGCAGCUGGGGGACGUCGCCAAGCGGCUCCGAGGAGUGGAGACGGGGUCAACGAGCGCGUCAGACGAGACGAAGACGAGCUUUGUGUGUCCUGCGGGGCGUGUCCGCCCAGCACCUGGCCUCUUCUCCUCUCGCGUCGGUUGAACAGGUACGCUACAGGCCGGAGGCUACAAACGGGGGUGCCCUGGGGCGGGGGAAGCGAGCCAAGCCGUACCCCGCGUCGCCCCCCCCCUCGCCCCACCACCCCCUCGCCUGCAGGCUCACAGAGAUCUCUCCCAGCAGCCCUUCUCCAGACCGUUCUGUAAGCGUCUGAAGUGCGCUGCGCUUCGCUGCGGUCCUGUGGAAGAGGAACGGGCGGCAGGUGCAGCGUCUCUCCCUCCGAUGGCACAGAUCCACGGCACAGAUCCACAGCCCGCGUCUGAGGUGGGCUUGUGUUCCCGCUUUGCCUGGCCGUGGGCGCCGAGCGCUCAGAAAGCACACAGUGAUGCGGUUUCCCUGGAGACGGCUGCUAAGCACCCUCCCAUCAGUGAAACGCGCAUUCGCUCUCGCCCCGUCCUGGGCUGCGUCCAGGCCUGAACGCGUUAUAUAAGACCCAAAAAUGUUAGUGGAAUUCACACUGUGUACGUGCGCU